rnacentral:rRNA from 61 species
UUCCGUAGGUGAACCUGCGGAGGGAUCAUUA